rnacentral:rRNA from 1 species
UACAGAGGUCUCGAGCGUUAGGCGGAAUCACUGGGCUUAAAGCGUGUGUAGGUGGAUCGUUAAGUACCUUGUGAAAUCCCACGGCUUAACCGUGGAACUGCUUGGUAUACUGGCGGUCUUGAGCCACUUAGGGGCUACCGGAACAAAUGGUGGAGCGGUGAAAUGCGUUGAGAUCGGAAGGAACGCCCGUGGCGAAAGCGAGGUCCUGGACGCCUACUGACGCUGAGACGCGAAAGCCAGGGGAGCGAACAGG